rnacentral:rRNA from 1 species
UAAGUCCAUCAACGAGCGCAACCCUUGCAACCAGUUGUAUUUUUCUGGUAGGACUGCCCCGGUAACGGGGAGGAAGGAGGGGAUGAUGUCAGGUCAGUAUUUCCCUUACGCCUUGGGCUAGAAUCGCGCUACAAUGGCCGGUACAAUGCGAAGCGAAGCAGUGAUGUGAAGCAAAUCGCACCAAAGCCGGUCCCAGUUCGGAUAGGAGGCUGAAACUCGCCUCCUUGAAGUCGGAAUCGCUAGUAAUCGCAAAUCAGCAUGUUGCGGUGAAUACGUUCCCGGGUCUUGUACACACCGCCCGUCAAACCAUGAGAGUCACCAACACCCAAAGUCCGCUUCGGCGGCCUAAGGUGGGGGAGAUGAUUGGGGUUAAGUCGUAACAAGGCAUCCGUACGAGAACGUGUGGAUGGAUUACCUCCUUU